rnacentral:rRNA from 1 species
AUUGAACGCUGGCGGCAUGCUUUACACAUGCAAGUCGAACGGUAACAGGCCUUCGGGUGCUGACGAGUGGCGAACGGGUGAGUAAUGCAUCGGAACGUACCCAGAGGUGGGGGAUAACGCAGCGAAAGCUGUGCUAAUACCGCAUGUGAUCUGAGGAUGAAAGCGGGGGACCGAGCAGCAAUGUUUGGCCUCGCGCCUUUGGAGCGGCCGAUGUCGGGUUAGCUAGUUGGUGGGGUACAGGCCUACCAAGGCGACGAUCCGUAGCUGGUCGGAGAGGACGACCAGCCACACUGGGACUGAGACACGGCCCAGACUCCUACGGGAGGCAGCAGUGGGGAAUUUUGGACAAUGGGCGCAAGCCUGAUCCAGCAAUGCCGCGUGCGGGAAGAAGGCCUUCGGGUUGUAAACCGCUUUUGGCAGGAACGAAACGGUGUCCGCUAAUACCGGGCGCUAAUGACGGUACCUGCAGAAUAAGCACCGGCUAACUACGUG